rnacentral:rRNA from 1 species
GUACACGCUGUGACUAGCAUAUCAAUAAGCGGAGGAAAAGAAACUAACAAGGAUUCCCCUAGUAACGGCGAGUGAAGCGGGAAGAGCUCAAAUUUGAAAUCUUAAAGGGUUUCCCUUUACGAAUUGUAGUUUAAAGAAGUGUUUUCUGUUGAGGUUUUGGUAAAAGUUCUUUGGAAUAGGACAUCAUAGAGGGUGAGAAUCCCGUAUUUGACCUUUACUUUCAACUUUGUGAUACACUUUCAAAGAGUCGGACUGUUUGGGAAUGCAGUCCAAAAUGGGUGGUAAAUUUCAUCUAAAGCUAAAUAUUGGCGAGAGACCGAUAGCGAACAAGUACCGUGAGGGAAAGAUGAAAAGAACUUUGAAAAGAGAGUUAAACAGUACGUGAAAUUGUCAAAAGGGAAGCGUUUGACACCAGUGUUGUUUUUCUGAAAAUCAAUUAAAGAACUGUUUAUGCUAAGCUGUUUAGACUUUAUCAGCUAUCUGUUUAGUUUUGAGCUUUUCUUUAAUGCACUUUUCAGUUAACAAGUCAACAUCAAUUUCUUUUGCUGUAAAAAAGCUUGGGGAAGGUGGCUUGAGAUUCGUCUUAAGUGUUUAUAGCCUCUUGCCUAUGCAGUCGGAGAGAUUGAGGUCUGCAGCGUAGAUCCUUCGGGGCUAAAUGCAUUUGUGCUAAGUUAUAGCAUUUUAUAGACAACUUGUUGACUAUGAUUUGUCUUGUAGCUUACUCGCUUAUGUUAUUUUACCUACGCUUAGGAUGUUGAAGCUGUGCGAGACUAC